rnacentral:lncRNA from 1 species
AGGCGGUCCUCCCACACUCUUCUUCCUCGCCGCACGCCGCCUCUCCGCUCGUACGCCGCACGCCGCGACGGAUAGCUCGCCCUCGCUACCUCCCUCCGCCGUCGAAGGUUGGGUUUUUCUCGUUGCACCCAGCCCACCGGCUCGCUGACCGCCUCCGCUGUGCGCCCAGUCGUCGCGCGGGCUGGCCGCCUCUGCCCUGCGCCUUGUCAUAGCGCUCGCUCGCGGCCUCCGCCGUACUCCCUGCCGUCACGCUCGCCGGCCCCCUCUAUCUCUGAGGCGCGGCCUCCUCCAGCCGCUGAAACCUCCCACAGGACUGAAGAAGUGACUACUUUCUGAAAGAAUUAUGGAGCCAACAGCUAUCUUAGAGCCAUCCUCAACUCUUUGGCACCUAUUUUGCAGAUGGUAUUGCCUGUUGUCCGAAACCCUCUGGACAUUGCCAGUCAGUACACAAAUUUAUUUCCUAUUGUUUGACUCAAAAAUUGAAACAAUAACUCACAGUCACCACUACAUCAAUGUUGACAUCAGAAGCUUCAUCUACUCAAGAUUUCUAGCUAUCAAAACGUAGUUGCAAGAAUAAUAGCAACCAUUACAACCAUUGUCACUUCAUAACUAUUCAGCCAUUCUACUUAACCCCUUCUACAGUUCUGAAUUUUAGAAGUGCGAAGCCGAAGCAAACAAGUUCUUCCUGUCAGGAGAACAGAUCAAGUUUAUAGCUAGCAGAAACACAAGAGCUGCUGAGUUUUUCUGAACCUAUAUCUCUAUGCAAAAUUUCUGAAUUCUCAUGAUGUCAGUGAGUGCCUCUGCUCUGCCAUCAUCCCCUUGCAGUACUUGACAGUGUUCUAUACUCCUAACUGGAUUUUUUUUUCCUGCAGGAUGUUGAGCAUAGCUACAUUAUGAUCAAACCUGAUGGUGUUCAACGUGGUCUGGUAUGCAUCUCUUGACUUUUGUCAUUGUUUUGGUUUAAUUUCUGUUAUCUGUUUCAGUUCAGAUCAAACAGGUAGCAUGUGAAUUAUAAAAUAAACUGAAAUUGUGAACUGAAUAUUACAUGUACACGUAUAUUCAUCACAAAUUCUUGAAUUAACUGAAAUUCUCAGAAAAUUCAGUUAACUGAACAAUAGAAAAUUCAUUUUUCAUAAUUUUAACUAUCCAUGUUGCAUUAUGCAGAAAUCUUGACCCUGAUGAGGACAUCUCAAGUAAUGAUACAACCACAGCUCCUACAGCACCUACACCUCAAGUACCGGAGAUACAUGGACCAAUUACUAGAGGUCGUGCACGACAACUAAAUUAUCAGGUACUUUCGUUCCUCGGUACUUCAUUUAAUAUUAAUGAGAAUAUGCUGCUGCCUAAGAUGGGUUCUUUUAUGUGUUUUAGGAAUGAAGGACCUAGCUUGGACCUCAAGGAUCAGCGUUGGACAGCAAACCAUGGAGGUGGCAGCAAGGUGGCGGGAGUUAGCUCAAGUGUUGAUUUCAGAACAUUGAAACCGCCAUAAAGAGAUGAGAAGAAGGCCGCAUCCUCUUCAUCAAUUGGAUUUCGGCCAAGUGGAGGAUUCCCCUUCCAAUAGGUAUAUAUGGGCCAAAGAUGAGGGUUAUAACCUUGUUUUAUUGGGCCUAAGGCCAUGUAAUAGGGUCCAGCCAAGUUUUAGAUGUUUUCGUUGUGUUUUAGGAGGAUUCCUAGGCCGUUUCGGAGUCCCACAAGGGCCUGGCCGAAAACCACCUAGUUCCCCUCCUAUUUAUACCCCAUGAGCCCCACUAUGGAGCAUUGGGUUUUGAUUAGAUAAAGUUUAGCCUUUGCUACUUUCGUGUAAUCGCGUGUGUCGGUUAGACCACCUGUUUUACCGUCAUCAAGACUCCAACUAUAUUGAGUAUUCAGAUUCGUGAAUCUUCAUAUCUCCUAUUCGCAAUUUCAGAUUGCUUUUCAUUUUGUUCUUGCUUGUUCUUCGAUUGCUUGCAGGAACAAAGACCUUCGUGGUCAGGUUGAUCGUGCCCCCGCGGGAUCAAUAACCUUCUGGAGUUGGUGUAUCGAUCGCUAAGGCGCUGCCUCCUAGGUUGUAGUCGGAUCGUCAACGUCACCUCCUACCAAAUCGAUAAUUAGGUAUCUCAUCGAAAGAUCGGGACACCCUCGAGGCUAUCACGUGGUAUCAGAGCUUAAGGUUGCUCGGUGAGAUUUUUCCAGUUUAUCCGUAGUUUAGAUCUGUUUUUUGCAGAAUCUAAUUAACCGAAUUAUGCAGAAAUCUUGACCCUGAAAUAUUUUCUUCAAAAGUUUCAAAACUUGAAGUUUCUAAGCCAAAGCAGAAUUCACAGUGGGUUUCUAAGCCAUGUUACAAUUAUCAAAAGUCAGGGCACUAGUGCAUCUACAAUUUUGAGUUUCUAAGCCAAAGCCCAGAAGCCAUCUUGUUCCUGAAAAUAUUUUCAGAAAUCAUCCCAUAAUCAUCACAGAAAUCAUCCCAAGUACAACUAGUUACCGAAACAACUGAUGUAGUUACUGAAACUACAACUACAGCUAACAUUCAUCACACAACUACCACAGGCACAAUUCUCUGAACAUCAUCACACAAUUGCAGAGAUUGUUGUUAUCCAAUUCUGUAGAGGAACAUCAUCAUCACACAAAUAUCUGAACAUCAACUGAAUUCUUGAGUUAACUGUUACAAUAUGUAUAUCAUGAAGCUGUUCAACCAGUACUGAAAUUAGGGACAAAUUCAGUUAACAGGCACAACUAUUAACUGAACUAGAACUGAACUAGGGACAAAUUCAGUUAACAGGUAGAACUGUUAACUGUUUUUAUUCAGACAGAGAAGUUUACUGUUAACAGUUAAAAGUAAAUUCAGUUAACUCUAUUAUAGUUCUCUGAAGUGUUAACUCUAUUCCAGUGCACAAUGUUAACUAGGGACACAGACUCAAUCUCUGUAUUCUGAAACAAAUACAGCCUCUUUAUUCCACAAUGCUAACUCGGCAACCUCAAUCUUUGUAUUCUGAAAUAAAUUCAGUUAACUCACAACAUAACCAGUUAACUCUACAGCCAUGUACCAACAUUUCAUCUGUCAUCAAAAUUCAGAGCUGUCAAGAACCAAUUCCCAUUGUUCACACAAACAGGACAGACACAACACAACUCCUAGAAAAGCUAAAUUGCUGCAUUUUGAAUCUCUCUAUUCAGAUACUCCAUAUUUCUGAACUUGUUUUUAUAGAAAAGACCAGUACUGUUCAAUCAGAGAAGAAUCCAGUUCUAGUUCUGAACUUGUUUCUAUAGAUCUUGGACAAAUACUCUUGUGUAUUGUUCAAUCACAGAAGAAUCCAGUUCCAGUUCUAUUGCUCCAUUGAACGUUGCUGCUGAGUAUGAACUGCAGGUGCUCUGAAGAUUAUGAACUAAACAAGUGUAUUGUUUGUUGCUGCAGAGUAUGAAAUGAGGAUCAAGAUCAGAAUAAGGCGACGUCCUCCUCUUCGGCAGCAGAGGAAGACAAGCGCCACCUCGUCCUCGUCCUCAGAAGAAGGCGAUGACCUCCUCUUCGGCAACCUCCUUCCUCGGCGGCAGAUGGCGAGGGAGCUGCGGAGGCGGGGGAGACUCACGCGGGAGCGGCGCGGCCGUAUGAGGGAGCACCGCUAGCAAGCCGGUCGGCCGGCCGCCCGAUUGCUCCUCCGCGAUUGCAAUCUGCCAGGUCCGGCGUUCGCGAUGCAGGCGCCCGCGAGAUGGAUUGCCUCUGCGAGAUUGGAUCGGCUCCAUGAGAUUUGAUGCGUCCGCGAGAUUGGAUGAGGCCGGCGGGAGCUCUACUUGCCGGACUGCGGAAGUUGGCGGCGACGAGAAGGUAGCGGGACUGCGGGACGGCGAUGGGGAAGAUUCCAGUUUUGAUUUUUCAAUUUGAAUCCCAAAGUUCAAACGAUCCGCAUGUUUGAGGGGUUUUUAGCAAAAUUUAAAUUGAACUAGAAGGGAGGAAGGAUGCGACAUCCUUUUAUGGACAGAGGAUACUUGUUAUCUCAGGAAGAAAUAACUCAUGGGCCUGUUUGAUCGCAUCCAAUAUGGGCCUAUUUGAUUGCAUCAUGGCCUUUUUUUUCUUUUCCCUGUGUACGAAAUUGAAUUCAACGGGCUGUUGGACAAACCUAGCCAGUAACAUGAACAAAUAUGGGUUGCGGGCUGUGCCGGCUAGGGCACCGGCUGC